GAUCAACGCUGGCGGCGUGCCUAACACAUGCAAGUCGAACGAUGAAGCUUAAAAGAUUUCUUCGGAAUGAACUUAAUUGGAUUAGUGGCGGACGGGUGAGUAACGCGUGAGUAACCUGCCUUGUACAAGGGGAUAGCCGUUGGAAACGACGAAUAAUACCCUAUGACAUCAAAUAAUCGCAUGAUAAUUUGAUCAAAGAUUUAUCGGUAUAAGAUGGACUCGCGUCUGAUUAGCUAGUUGGUAGAGUAAAAGCCUACCAAGGCAACGAUCAGUAGCCGGCUUGAGAGAGUGUACGGCCACAUUGGGACUGAGACACGGCCCAGACUCCUACGGGAGGCAGCAGUGGGGAAUUUGGCACAAUGGGGGAAACCCUGAUGCAGCGACGCCGCGUGAUUUAGAAGGCCUUCGGGUUGUAAAAAUCUUUUGUAUGGGAAGAAAAUGACAGUACCAUACGAAUAAGAACCGGCUAAUUACGUG
rnacentral:rRNA from 1 species